GACGAACGCUGGCGGCGGGCUUAACACAUGCAAGUCGAACGGAAAGGCCCUGCUGUUGUGGGGGGCUCGAGUGGCGAACGGGUGAGUAACACGUGAGUAACCUGCCCUUGACUUUGGGAUAACUUCAGGAAACUGGGGCUAAUACCGGAGAGGAGCUCCUGCUGCAUGGUGGGGGUUGGAAAGUUUCGGCGGUUGGGGAUGGACUCGCGGCUUAUCAGCUUGUUGGUGGGGUAGUGGCUUACCAAGGCUUUGACGGGUAGCCGGCCUGAGAGGGUGACCGGCCACAUUGGGACUGAGAUACGGCCCAGACUCCUACGGGAGGCAGCAGUGGGGAAUAUUGCACAAUGGGCGGAAGCCUGAUGCAGCAACGCCGCGUGCGGGAUGACGGCCUUCGGGUUGUAAACCGCUUUCGCCUGUGACGAAGCGUGAGUGACGGUAAUGGGUAAAGAAGCACCGGCUAACUACGUG
rnacentral:rRNA from 1 species